rnacentral:rRNA from 1 species
CGAAGGUAGCAUAAUCAGUAGUCUUUUAAUUGAAGGCUGGUAUGAAUGGUUGGACGAAAUAUUAACUGUUUCAUAAAAAUUUUUAGUAUAAUUUUAUUUUUUAGUUAAAAAGCUAAAAUUUAUUUAAAAGACGAGAAGACCCUAUAAAUCUUUAUAUUUAAAUUAUUAUAAUUUUAUAGAUUUUUUUUAUUAUAUUAAUUAAUAAUAUUUUAUUGGGGUGAUAUUAAAAUUUAAUAAACUUUUAAUUGAUUAUAACAUUAAUUUAUGAAUAAUUGAUCUAUUAUUAAUGAUUAAAAAAAUAAGUUACUUUAGGGAUAACAGCGUAAUUUUUUUGGAGAGUUCUUAUCGAUAAAAAAGAUUGCGACCUCGAUGUUGGAUUAA